GGUUUCAUGGUGUAGUUGGUUAUCACGUAUCCUUAACAUUCAACGAAUGAUUCGGAUAAGGUCUGCGGUUCGAUCCCGCAUGAAAUCA
rnacentral:tRNA from 1 species